AGUGGUAGGCUGGUUGUGAGUGUUGGCAGGCUACACGCUCGCGCGUCUAACAUGUUGCCCCACACCUUUUCAGUGUUGGCUCCGAAGUUGAUUUCUCCGUGGGCGAAUGUUGGGUUCCUGUGUUGCGUACCUAUCAAAGAGGGUAUCGAAGUCCCUAGUUGCCUUGGAUCCAAUGUGCGCACUUCUUGGGCGUGCGUUGGACGUGGAAGCCCAUCCCGUGCCCCGUUAAUUCUCUGCCCCGCUGUGGAGAUCAACUGGUGCAUGGGUUUGGGCUCGUGGUCUCGGACGCGGAAUGUGAUGUUGGCGUGGAGCUAUGCACUCCUAUAGCCAAGAAACGGGCACUCGUUGCUCUUCUGAACGACAUCCGUGCAUGCAUCGACACGCCCACCUACCCGGUCGGCGUGUUGUUGCGUACAUUGGCUUGUCCGUGAGGAAUGCUACCUGGUUGAUCCUGCCAGUAGUCAUAUGCUUGUCUCAAAGAUUAAGCCAUGCAUGUGUAAGUAUGAACAAAUUCAGACUGUGAAACUGCGAAUGGCUC
rnacentral:misc_RNA from 1 species